rnacentral:rRNA from 1 species
ACAGGGAUUGCCCUAGUAACGGCGAGUGAAGCGGCAACAGCUCAAAUUUGAAAUCUGGCCUAUGGUCCGAAUUGUAAUUUGUAGAGGAUGAUUUUGGUGCGGUACUUUCCGAGUUCCCUGGAACGGGACGCCUUAGAGGGUGAGAGCCCCGUACGGUUGGAUGCCUAGCCUUUGUAAAUCUCCUUCGACGAGUCGAGUAGUUUGGGAAUGCUGCUCUAAAUGGGAGGUAAAUUUCUUCUAAAGCUAAAUACUAGCCAGAGACCGAUAGCGCACAAGUAGAGUGAUCGAAAGAUGAAAAGCACUUUGAAAAGAGGGUUAAACAGCACGUGAAAUUGUUGAAAGGGAAGCGCUUAUGACCAGACUUUUUCUAGGCGGAUCAUCCGGUGUUCUCACCGGUGCACUUCGCCUAGUUUAGGCCAGCAUCGGUUCUUAUAGGGAGAUAAAAGCUUCAGGAAUGUGACUCCUUCGGGAGUGUUAUAGCCUGUUGUAUAAUAUCCUUACGGGGACCGAGGUACGCGCUCUGCAAGGAUGCUGGCAUAAUGGUCAUCAGCGACCCGUCUUGAAACACGGACCAAGGAGUCGAACAUUUGUGCGAGUGUUUGGGUGUUAAACCCUCACGCGUAAUGAAAGUGAACGGAGGUGAGAGCCAUUUGGUGCAUCAUCGACCGAUCCUGAUGUCUUCGGAUGGAUUUGAGUAGGAGCAUAACUGUUCGGACCCGAAAGAUGGUGAACUAUGCGUGGAUAGGGUGAAGCCAGAGGAAACUCUGGUGGAGGCUCGCAGCGGUUCUGACGUGCAAAUCGAUCGUCAAAUCUGCGCAUGGGGGCGAAAGACUAAUCGAACCA